GAAAUGCGAUAAGUAAUGUGAAUUGCAGAAUUCAGUGAAACAUCGAAUCUUUGAACGCACCUUGCGCUCCUUGGUAUUCCUUGGAGCAUGCCUGUUUGAGUAUCAUGAAAUCUUCAAAGUAAAUCUUUUGUUAACUCAAUUGGUUUCUACUUUGGUAUUGGAGGUCUUUGCAGCUUCACACCUGCUCCUCUUUGUUCAUUAGCUGGAUCUCAGUGUUAUGCUUGGAUCCACUCGGCGUGAUAAGUUAUCUAUCGCUGAGGACACUGUAAAAGGUGGCCAAGGUAAAUGCAGAUGAACCGCUUCUAAUAGUCCAUUGACUUGGACAAUACUUUUAUGAUCUGAUCUCAAAUCAGGUAGGACUACCCGCUGAACUUAAGC
rnacentral:misc_RNA from 1 species